rnacentral:rRNA from 1 species
CGGCUCAGUAACACGUGGAUAACCUACCCUCAGAUCUGGGAUAACUCCGGGAAACUGGAGAUAAUACCGGAUAAUCCGUGAACGCUGGAAUGCCUCACGGUUGAAAGCUUUUGCGUCUGAGGAUGGGUCUGCGGCCGAUUAGGUAGUUGCUGGGGUAACGUCCCAACAAGCCGAUAAUCGGUACGGGUUGUGAGAGCAAGAGCCCGGAGAUGGAUUCUGAGACACGAAUCCAGGUCCUACGGGGCGCAGCAGGCGCGAAAACUUUACACUGCGCGAAAGCGCGAUAAGGGGACCUCGAGUGCGUGCGCAAUGCGUACGCUUUUCAGAUGCCUAAAAAGCAUGUGGAAUAAGGGCCGGGCAAGACCGGUGCCAGCCGCCGCGGUAACACCGGCGGCUCAAGUGGUGGCCGCUAUUAUUGGGCUUAAAGGGUCCGUAGCCGGACCAGUUAGUCCCUUGGGAAAUCUUACGGCUUAACCGUAAGGCUGCCAAUGGAUACUGCUGGUCUUGGGACCGGGAGAGGUAAGAGGUACCUCAGGGGUAGGAGUGAAAUCCUGUAAUCCUUGAGGGACCGCCAGUGGCGAAGGCGUCUUACUAGAACGGGUCCGACGGUGAGGGACGAAAGCUAGGGGCACGAACCGGAUUAGAUACCCGGGUAGUCCU